UACGUAGGGUGCGAGCGUUAAUCGGAAUUACUGGGCGUAAAGCGUGCGCAGGCGGCUAUUUAAGCUUGCUGUGAAAGCCCCGGGCUUAACCUGGGAACUGCAGUGAGGACUGGAUGGCUGGAGUGUGGCAGAGGGGGGGUGGAAUUCCACGUGUAGCAGUGAAAUGCGUAGAGAUGUGGAGGAACACCGAUGGCGAAGGCAGCCCCCCUGGGCUAACACUGACGCCUCAGGCACGAAAGCGUGGGGAGCAAACAGG
rnacentral:rRNA from 1 species